UGUUUCGAAGACCUGUGUUACAGGUAUUUCGUCAGUUUGUAAGACAUGAGUCUGAAGUAGCCAGCAGUUUGGUUCUUGAACGAUCUCUGAAUCGUGUUCAGUUACUUGGACAAGUAGGUCAGGACCCUGUCAUGAGACAGGUGGAAGGAAAAAACCCAGUCACAAUAUUUUCUCUAGCAACAAAUGAGAUGUGGCAAUCAGGGGAUAGUGAAGUAUACCAAAUGGGUGACGUCAGUCAGAAGACGACGUGGCACAGAAUAUCAAUCAGUGUUUCGACCAGGCCUCAGAGAUGUGGCAUAUCAGUAUGUGAAAAAGGGGGCUCGUAUAUUUGUAGAAGGGAAAGUGGACUAUGGCGAGAACAUGGAUAAAAACAAUAUGAGGCGGCAAGCAACAACAAUCAUAGCUGAUAACAUUAUAUUUCUGAGUGACCAGACAAAAGAAAAGGCA
rnacentral:lncRNA from 1 species